rnacentral:rRNA from 1 species
AUUGAACGCUGGCGGUAUGCUUAACACAUGCAAGUCGAACGGCAGCACGGGAUUUAUCUUGGUGGCGAGUGGCGGACGGGUGAGUAAAGUAUAGGAAUCUGCCGAGUAGAGGGGGAUAACUAUCCGAAGGGAUAGCUAAUACCGCAUAAAGCCUAAGGUUUAAAGCAGUGGCUCGUCGGACCUUGCGCUCCUUGAUGAGCCUAUAUAAGAUUAGCUAGUUGGCGAGGUAAAGGCUCACCAAGGCGACGAUCUUUAGCUGGUCUGAGAGGAUGAUCAGCCACACUGGAACUGAGACACGGUCCAGACUCCUACGGGAGGCAGCAGUGGGGAAUAUUGGACAAUGGGGGCAACCCUGAUCCAGCAAUACCGCGUGUGUGAAGGAGGCCUUCGGGUUGUAAAGCACUUUUGUUAGGGAGGAUGGUUGCUAUAGCUAAUAUCUAUAGUAGCUGACGUUACCUAAAGAAUAAGCACCGGCUAACUCCGUGCCAGCAGCCGCGGUAACAC